rnacentral:misc_RNA from 1 species
GAUGAAGAACGCAGCAAAAUGCGAUAAGUAAUGUGAAUUGCAGAAUUCAGUGAAUCAUCGAAUCUUUGAACGCACAUUGCGCCCGCCAGUAUUCUGGCGGGCAUGCCUGUUCGAGCGUCAUUUCAACCCUCAGGCACAGCUUGGUGUUGGGACUCGCGUUAAUUCGCGUUCCCCAAAUUGAUUGGCGGUCACGUCGAGCUUCCAUAGCGUAGUAGUAAAACCCUCGUUACUGGUAAUCGUCGCGGCCACGCCGUUAAACCCCAACUUCUGAAUGUUGACCUCGGAUCAGGUAGGAAUACCCGCUGAACUUAAGCAUAUCAAUAAGCGGAGGA